AUGGCCGGCGACUUACUUCCAGACGUUAAGGAUCUCGUUGUGCCCGGCGAAGACGCCGCGGAGCGCAUCGCGGAAGGACUGCUCACAGCGAUAGCUGCCGCAGAUGAACUCGCUGUCCCGCAGGUAGUCCAGCAGCCAGGAAUUGAAGAUAGGAGGGCUAGAACUGAAAGAACUAACAUCUUAAUUAGAAAGCAACAGGAGAUUAUUCAUAUAUGCAAAAUACAUAUGAAGUGGUCUUCACCAAAUUUGUUGAAACAUGACCGAAAUGUUUUAGCAGUACCAAUGAUACAUGUCAAAUUAAUUGUUCCUGUCAUGACAAUGUAA
rnacentral:rRNA from 1 species